CACGUAGGGCGCGAGCGUUGUCCGGAAUUAUUGGGCGUAAAGAGCUCGUAGGCGGCCUGUUGCGUCCGCUGUGAAAGCCCCGGGGCUUAACCCCGGGUCGGCAGUGGAUACGGGCAGGCUAGAGGUAGGUAGGGGAGAAUGGAAUUCCCGGUGUAGCGGUGAAAUGCGCAGAUAUCGGGAGGAACACCGGUGGCGAAGGCGGUUCUCUGGGCCUUACCUGACGCUGAGGAGCGAAAGCGUUGGGGAGCGAACAGG
rnacentral:rRNA from 1 species